CCAUGAACUGUGGCCCAGCCAUGCCCGCCUGCCUUGGAGCCAACUGAGUGUGGACUAAAACCUCCAAAAACUGAGCUCCAGAAGUGACCUGAUUCGGCACAGCUCACUCCCUGGAAACUCACUGAUGCCCCUGGUCAGAGUUAUAUUUGAAAAUGGAAGCUUUUGUAAAUAAAGGGAAGAAGGGUUGAAGAGAGAGAAAGGAGAUGGGGGAAAGAAGAAUCAAGAUGUACUGUGUACAGGAACCCCAGAAGGACCCCGAGAAACCCAAGGAGAUCUCUCAUCUGCACCAAUAAGGAAGAUUAUAGCAAUGCCCUCUGAUGUCAGGGCCAGUGCCCAGCAGGGCCUGAAAACUGCGUAGAAGGACAUUUGUUCCACUGCCGUGAGUUCAGCAGUUGUGCUCUGCCUUACCUGUCCAACAUGAUGUUCCUGUCUUGUCAUGGGCCUACAAUCAAUGGAGCCAGAAGACCAUGAACUAAAAUCUCUGAAACCAUUUUCCUCCUUCAAAUUGUUUAUUGUGCGCAGUUGUUCCAGCAACAGAAAGCUGACUGACACAAUGAGUGUGAGUGGGCUUCCUUCCCACGCAGGAUAGACUCUGUGCCUUUGGUACACAAGUAGGCACAGGGUGAAUCAGAAGAGUACGCAGAGCCUCACACAUGAGUGUUUCCAUGUGUACACAUACAUGUGUACUUGAGUAUGUGUGCAUGUGCUUUAAAGGUGGACUUUCAAAACAAUAACAAAAAAAGCUUAGGCAUUAUUCACAUAAUUUGAUAUUCACCAAACAUAGAAAACUAGAUUCUUACCUAGUACUCAUACAAAUAAAUUUCGGGUAAACAGACAUUAAAGAUUUAACAGAAUUGUGGUAAUCAUUUUAUUUGACCCUCUCUCCCUUUGAAUCAGUUCACUCCCCAGGGAACAAUCUAAAAUAAUCAUGACAAUCACAUUUCCUUGAGGAAUAAUUGGUGCGUGACAUAAGAAGAGUGUUGGAGUUUUGGGGGAAAUUUUUUUUCUGAUUUCUAAGAAAGAGAUAGAGGAAUAUGCUCUUCAUUUCUUUGGAUUUGCUAUAGAGUCUGUGCCUUUUCAUAGCUGGGUGAUAGAAGUCUGCAAAUGUUUGCAGUGCUUACUGAUUUUGCUAGUCAAACUCUAUUUGAACUUUUUUUUUGUCUUUUUCAUUUUUAUCGGUACCAGGAUUGAACUCACGACUGCACACUUGCAAGGCAGGCGCUUAUGCCGCUGAGCUAAAUCCCCAGCCUUAUUUGAACUUUUUAUAAAGGGAAUGAAUUUUCUUUUCUUUUUGAGCCAGGGUCUCACUGUGCAGUUCAGAUUGGCUUUGGGUUCACUGUGUAGCCCAGGCUGGUAUCAAACUAGCAAUAAUUCUCAUGCCUCAGCCUCCCAAGAGUCCUGGGAUUACAGACAUAAGCCACCAAACCCAGCUUGAAUUUGUUAUCUCGUUGUGUGAACAGUUUAAAAAAUUCUGGUUAUGUUAUUUAAACUUUUUACUUUAAAUCCUUCCUUUGUUUACAUUUUCUUGCCUCGUCCUUUACUUAUAACCUUUUGAUAUAAUUUUAAGUCAUCUUUGGUAAGUAGCCAUUGAAUCACCUUGUUUUUUUUUACUCCAAAUGAGAAUCUGAAAAUUAUUAAAAGGGUUUAAAAGUGUUGACAUGUGUUGACAUAACCAUUGUGCCUGCUGUUAUUUUUGCUAUCUUGCUUUAUGCCUCAAGUUUUCUGUUGACUUUCUAUUUUUUCUUGGGCUUCUGUAUAGUAUUGUGUUUGCUUUUAUUUCUGCCAUGAUUUGGAAACUAGACUUCCUGCUUUAAAUUCU